rnacentral:rRNA from 1 species
UAGCCGUAAACGAUACUCGCUAGGUGUCGGCCACGGUGCGACCGUUGUCGGUGCCGUAGGGAAGCCGUGAAGCGAGCCACCUGGGAAGUACGGCCGCAAGGCUGAAACUUAAAGGAAUUGGCGGGGGAGCACAACAACGGGCGGAGCUUGCGGUUUAAUUGGAUUCAACGCCGGAAAUCUUACCGGGACCGACAGCAACAUGAAGGCCAGGCUGAAGACUUUGCCGGAUUAGCUGAGAGGUGGUGCAUGGCGUAGUCGUGU